AUGAACGCUGGCGGCGUGCCUAAUACAUGCAAGUCGAGCGAACAGAUAAGGAGCUUGCUCCUUUGACGUUAGCGGCGGACGGGUGAGUAACACGUGGGUAACCUACCUAUAAGACUGGGAUAACUUCGGGAAACCGGAGCUAAUACCGGAUAACAUUUGGAACCGCAUGGUUCUAAAGUGAAAGAUGGUUUUGCUAUCACUUAUAGAUGGACCCGCGCCGUAUUAGCUAGUUGGUAAGGUAACGGCUUACCAGGGCAACGAUACGUAGCCGACCUGAGAGGGUGAUCGGCCACACUGGAACUGAGACACGGUCCAGACUCCUACGGGAGGCAGCAGUAGGGAAUCUUCCGCAAUGGGCGAAAGCCUGACGGAGCAACGCCGCGUGAGUGAUGAAGGGUUUCGGCUCGUAAAACUCUGUUAUUAGGGAAGAACAAACGUGUAAGUAACUGUGCACGUCUUGACGGUACCUAAUCAGAAAGCCACGGCUAACUACGUG
rnacentral:rRNA from 1 species